rnacentral:rRNA from 1 species
UACGAAGGGGGCUAGCGUUGUUCGGAAUUACUGGGCGUAAAGCGCACGUAGGCGGACUAUUAAGUCAGGGGUGAAAUCCCGGGGCUCAACCCCGGAACUGCCUUUGAUACUGGUAGUCUCGAGUCCGGAAGAGGUGAGUGGAAUUCCGAGUGUAGAGGUGAAAUUUGUAGAUAUUCGGAGGAACACCAGUGGCGAAGGCGGCUCACUGGUCCGGUACUGACGCUGAGGUGCGAAAGCGUGGGGAGCAAACAGG